CGCCUGUGUUGGUGAAAGAGCUUUCGGGCGAUGUGAACGUGUCGGAACGCAAACUUUACGCGUCGGGUCAUCGUGGUGUGAGUGACUGAGCUUUCACUGAGCUUUCAUACACAAAACAACAAAUAUUAAACGAUGCGUCUUUCGCUUUUUCCACCCCCGUGAGAGCGGCGCACAUGUGCAGACUCGCACGCGCCGCGAAUUCACCACCACGACCAGCGCCAAAAAUGCAAAUAAACUCGCUUGUGCAAUUUUCCACCCUUGAGGGAUGAAGGCGAAAAAAAAAACUCAACGGACGCCGGAUGUUGUCGCACCGGAAGCACCCCCAAAUGAUCGAAGAGAAAAAAACUGAAAGGAAACCCGCUGUGAGGGUUUUGUUUUAGACGUGCGAGGGUUAACACACUGCAGGGGGUGUGGGUUGUGCAAGACAUCAAGACGCAAUCGUAAACUGUCGCCGAGGAGCCGAAUAUUAACUUUUGAUUUUUUUUUCAAAUUUUUUAAUUUCGAAAAAUCUUAAAUAUUUUACCUUUUAGGGGUGGGAAUAUAAAAUAGUUAAGGAAAGGAACACCCCAUGAUGUGGUGUUAUCUUGGGUGUUAAUCUAAAUUAAUUUUGAACAUUUUUUAAAAGAAUUUUUGAGUUUUAUUAAAAUUGUUUGAUGUUUUUGACAGUUUUUGGGCAGAAUUUAAGGGUUGGAGGGUUAAUAUGUAUAUAAAAUAAACAAGGGUUGAUAUUAUGGUAUGAUAAGUGUUAAUUUAGUGAGAUUUUUAUUGUUAUUUUAAUUAUUUUUAGCAAAAAAUAUUUUUAAAUGUUUAGAUGUAAAUAACUGCUACACCCUGUAUAAUGCACUUGUCAAUUUUAGUGCAGUUAGAGCUAGUUUAAUAAUAAUUCUAAUAACAUUUAAACAUUUCAAAUAUCUCUUAUAGUUUUACCAUAAUCUUCAAUUUAAUAAGUGGAAAUUGUUUUUAAAAUAUUGAAAUAAAGUUGCAACUUUAUUAGACAAUAACUUGAACACCCUGUAGACUACUAGAUUGAAAUUAAGUAUAGAAUGAUUAAAUUUAAGUGGCUUUCAUAUACUGUUUAAAUUUAUAAAUUAUCUUUAUUAGUUUUUGAGUUAUUUUGAUUUUUCUAAAAUAAUAUUUUUUUGCAAUUUUGAAA